rnacentral:lncRNA from 1 species
UGACGGCAAGUUUGGGCCACAACCUAUGGCAGUGCCUCAAUUCCAGCAGAUGUCUCGCAUUGAUCAGCAAGUUCCUCCCUCAGUUGGGUAUCCACCUCAACCGGCAUAUCCACCUCAGCCGGCGUAUGGGCAACCUUAUGGCUAUCCACCUCCCCAGCAGGCUCAAGGCUAUCCACCAGCUGGUUAUCCUCCAAGUGGCUAUCCACAUUCUGGCCAUUAACUCUAGGUGAUUUUUGAGUUCGAAUCACCAUUUGUGGUGGCCUCUGUAUUCAAUUGUGUUACAUGUUGUUGGUUUGCAAGUAUUGUCACCGUGAAGUUCCAAC